rnacentral:tRNA from 1 species
GGUGAGAUGUCUGAGAGGUCGAAAGAGCACGCCUGGAAAGUGUGUAUACGUUAACGCGUAUCGAGGGUUCGAAUCCCUCUCUCACCGCCA